rnacentral:rRNA from 1 species
GUUACCAGAGAUGGUUUCGUGCUCGAAAGAGAACCGUAACACAGGUUGCUGCAUGGGCUGUCGUCAGCUCGUGUCGUGAGAUGUUGGGUUAAGUCCCGCAACGAGCGCAACCCUUGUCAUUAGUUGCUACAUUUGGUUGGGCACUCUAAUGAGACUGCCGGUGACAAACCGGAGGAAGGUGGGGAUGACGUCAAGUCCUCAUGGCCCUUAUAGGUGGGGCUACACACGUCAUACAAUGGCUGGUACAAAGGGUUGCCAACCCGCGAGGGGGAGCUAAUCCCAUAAAGCCAGUCGUAGUCCGGAUCGUAGUCUGCAACUCGACUGCGUGAAGUCGGAAUCGCUAGUAAUCGUGGAUCAGAAUGCCACGGUGAAUACGUUCCCGGGCCUU